AGAGUUUGAUCCUGGCUCAGAGCGAACGCUGGCGGCAGGCCUAACACAUGCAAGUCGAACGGACCCUUCGGGGUUAGUGGCGGACGGGUGAGUAACACGUGGGAACGUGCCUUUAGGUUCGGAAUAAGCCCGGGAAACUGGGUCUAAUACCGAAUGUGCCCUUCGGGGGAAAGAUUUAUCGCCUUUAGAGCGGCCCGCGUCUGAUUAGCUAGUUGGUGGUGUAAUGGACCACCAAGGCGACGAUCAGUAGCUGGUCUGAGAGGAUGAUCAGCCACAUUGGGACUGAGACACGGCCCAAACUCCUACGGGAGGCAGCAGUGGGGAAUCUUGCGCAAUGGGCGAAAGCCUGACGCAGCCAUGCCGCGUGAAUGAUGAAGGUCUUAGGAUUGUAAAAUUCUUUCACCGGGGACGAUAAUGACGGUACCCGGAGAAGAAGCCCCGGCUAACUUCGUGCCAGCAGCCGCGGUAAUACGAAGGGGGCUAGCGUUGCUCGGAAUUACUGGGCGUAAAGGGCGCGUAGGCGGACAUUUAAGUCAGGGGUGAAAUCCCGGGGCUCAACCUCGGAAUUGCCUUUGAUACUGGGUGUCUUGAGUAUGAGAGAGGUGUGUGGAACUCCGAGUGUAGAGGUGAAAUUCGUAGAUAUUCGGAAGAACACCAGUGGCGAAGGCGACACACUGGCUCAUUACUGACGCUGAGGCGCGAAAGCGUGGGGAGCAAACAGGAUUAGAUACCCUGGUAGUCCACGCCGUAAACGAUGAUUGCUAGUUGUCGGGCUGCAUGCAGUUCGGUGACGCAGCUAACGCAUUAAGCAAUCCGCCUGGGGAGUACGGUCGCAAGAUUAAAACUCAAAGGAAUUGACGG
rnacentral:rRNA from 1 species